rnacentral:rRNA from 1 species
UACCUGGUUGAUCCUGCCAGUAGUCAUAUGCUUGUUUCAAAGAUUAAGCCAUGCAUGUCCCAGUAUGAACCAAUGAACGGUGAAAUUGCGUAUGGCUCACUAAAGCGGUUAUUUUCUAUGCAAGAGGAGAAUCUUUACAUGGAUACCUCUGGGAAUUCUGGAGAUAAUACUUGCGCACAAGCCCAACGCUCACGGAGGGCUGUAGAUGUCAGCGUUGAAAUCAUUUCAGUGUAACUGGUAAAUGAAGAAUCAAGACAACGAUUCGGAUCGCAUACCUUCAGGUGGCGACAAUUUGCUCGAGUUUCUGACCUAUCAGCUUCUGACGGUAUUGUAUUUGCUCACCGUGGCUACGACGGGUAACGGAGAAUUAGGGUUCGGUUCCGGAGAGGGAGCUUGAUAAUCGGCUACCACAUCUAAGGAAGGCAGCAGGCGCGCAAAUUUCCCACUGCUGAUAUAGCGAGGUAGUAACAAGAAAUGACUGUGCAAGGCAUACAUGUCAUGCAAUUGGAAUGGGCAGAUUGAAUACACUUCUGAGACGAACAAUUGGAGGGCAAGUCUGGUGCCAGCAGCCGCGGUAAUUCCAGCUCCAAUAGCGUAUAUUAAAGCUGCUGCGGUUAGAAAGUUCGUAGUCGAAAUUCUGCACAAGGCAGGGGAUCCACCCUUUGGGUGUGAGACUUGCUUGCCUAUGGCACGAUAACAUCCUUGAGAUGCGAGUCACUCCGCAUGUCUGGGUAUGUAUCUUUUACUUUGAGGAAUUCAGUGUGCUUCGGGCGAGCAGAUGCUCAUAUACACCAGCAUGGAAUAAUAGCAAAAAGUCACACUAAAAAGCAUUGGUUUCUUCUGGGUGACUGAGAUGCACAGGGAUAGUUGGGGGCAUUCGUAUCUGACUGUUAGAGGUGAAAUUCUUGGAUCGGUCAAAGACGAUCGUAUGCGAAAGCAUUUGCCCAAGAUGUUUUCAUUGAUCAAGAACGAAAGUUAGGGGAGCGAAGACGAUCAGAUACCGUCCUAGUCUUAACCAUAAACAAUGCCAUCCAGAUAUUGGAAGUUGUAGUCACACUGACACUUUCGGCAUCUUGUGAGAAAUCAAAGUUCUUGGGUUCCGGGGGGAGUAUGGUCGCAAGGCAGAAACUUAAAGGAAUUGACGGAAGGGCACCACCAGGAGUGGAGCUUGCGGCUUAAUUUGACUCAACACGGGGAAACUCACCAGGUCCAGACAUAAUCAGGAUUGACAGACCAAUGACUCUCUCAAGAUUUUAUGGGUGGUGGUGCAUGGCCGUUCUUAGUUGGUGGAGUGAUUUGUCUGGUUUAUUCCGUUAACGAACGAGAUCUCAGCCUGCUAAAUACAGACGUGUACGCUCGUUUACGUGGCGGGUUUCUUAGAGGGACACUGCGUGUUUAACGCAUGGAAGCCUGGGGCAAUAACAGGUCUGUGAUGCCCUUAGAUGUCGUGGGCUGCACGCGCGCUACUCUGAUGCAUGCAUCCAGUCGCAUGACCUGUCCUGGAGGGGAUGGGAAAUCUUUUAAAAUUGCAGCGUGAUGGGGAUAGGUUAUUGAAAUUAUCAAUCUUGAACGAGGAAUUCCUAGUAAGCGCGUUUCAUCAGCUCGCGUUGAUUUCGUCCCUGCCCUUUGUACACACCGCCCGUCGCUCCUACCGAUUGAGUGGUCCGGCGAACUACUUGGAGAGCAAUGCGGAUCAGUUCCCUGCCCCGUUUAACUCGAAACUUCGUGAACCUUAUCACUUAGAGGAAGGAGAAGUCGUAACAAGGUUUCCGUAGGUGAACCUGCAGAAGGAUC